rnacentral:rRNA from 1 species
GACGAACGCUGGCGGCGUGCCUAAUACAUGCAAGUAGAACGCAGUUGCGAACGGGUGAGUAACGCAUAGGUAACUGCCUCAUAGCGGGGGAUACCUAUUGGAAACGAUAGCUAAUACCGCAUACUGUGAGAUGGACCUGCGUUGUAUUAGCUAGUUGGUGAGGUAACGGCUCAUCAAGGCUACGAUACAUAGCCGACCUGUGAGGGUGAUAGGGCAAAGUGCGAGUGAGGCACGGCCCAGACUCUAGCGAGAUGUAGCAGUAGGGAAUAGUCGGCAAUGAAGGGAAGGCUGACCGAGCAACGCAGCGUGAGUGAGGAAGGUUUUCGGAUCGAAAAGAGCUGUUGUUAGAGAAGCGGAAACUAACCAGAAAGGGACGGCUAACUACGUGCCUGGCGCCGCGGUAAUAC